rnacentral:rRNA from 1 species
UCUACGGGGGGCUGCAGUGGGGAAUAUUGGACAAUGGGGGAAACCCUGAUCCAGCGACGCCGCGUGUGUGAAGAAGGCCUGCGGGUUGUAAAGCACUUUUAGUGGGGACAAAAAGCCACCGGCUAAUACCGGGUGGUCUUGAUUUAACUCACAGAAAAAGCACCGGCUAACUCUGUGCCAGCAGCCGCGGUAAUACAGAGGGUGCGAACGUUAAUCGGAAUUACUGGGCGUAAUGUGCGCGGAGACGGGUGAAAUCCCCGGGCUCAACCUGGGAACUGCAUUUGAUACUGCAUUGCUAGAGUACGGUAGAGGGAAGCGGAAUUUCCGGUGUAGCGGUGAAAUGCGUAGAUAUCGGAAGGAACACCAGUGGCGAAAGCGGCUUCCUGGACCAGUACUGACGUUCAUGUGCGAAAGCGUGGGGAGCAAACAGGAUUAGAUACCCUAGUAGUC